rnacentral:lncRNA from 1 species
UCCAGCUUUACCUGCCUCACUCUCACCUCUUUCCUCUUCGUUGGAGGAAGUCAAAAGAACAGGGAGUAGAAAUGAAGAAGAGAAGAGAAGAGGAGAUGGAGAUGACGUGGGCCAUUCUCACGACUCUUCCUUGAAUGCCUGCAUUUUCUGCCAUGCUGAAGGUUCUGUUUCUCCAUGUUUUCUUUCUGUCUUUCCCAGAGAGGUGCUGAGUAGCAAAUCAAAAUGCGUGGAUCCUACCAGGUCAAUCUUUGUUGUUACCAAUGCUGAAUGUAUAGAAGUUAUUCAAUCACUUUUAAUUUUUGUUAUUUCCACUUUAAAGAAUCAAGUUUGUUCUUUAAGGUCCUUUUGUAGGUUUAAAUCUGCAAUUAUUUUCUAUUCUCUCUCUUUUUAUGGCUAUCCUUGUACCUUUGUUGUUUAACUGUUUUCUACAUCAGGUUUCUUCCCCUCUCCAAUCUUCUUUCACUGAAAGUAUUGCAGUUGUGUUAAGGAUCAGAGACGGAUGUGACAUGAAUAUUUUGUUCCAGGCUGUGAUAUUUUUCACCUCUGGCUGCUUCUCCAUGCCACAGCCCACCACAGAACAAAACAUCCUAUGCCUUUCCUUUCAGUUGGCCUCCAUCAAGCUCUGGUGCAGUGAUGCAGAGAUUCGGCCUAGGAGAAGAGGCAAAC